rnacentral:sRNA from 1 species
AUUUUUUAUUUUUUAGGUAAUGACAUAAUAACUCUAAAAGCAAAGAAUUUAGACGAUUUAAAU